UCAAGUUACCCGAAUCCAAUCCCAAGCGCAAAACCCCCACCACCACCACCAUCCUCUUGCCUAGCGAGAAACCCGACACCGAGUCCGCAACCGGCGCCACCAUCUUACCAAAGGAAGAGUCGACCAUCGAGACCGUCCCGUUGACCGUCUUCAGCUUCCGCCCCGUCAACCGCCAUUUCCCCAGGCGCCCCUUCCCGUUGUCUUUCCGUCACGGCCGCCCAUGCGGCCACGGCCGCCGCCCCUGGACCCCGCGCUUUCACGGAGGCGAGCGCGAACAUCGCGAGGGCGAGUCUGUUUCGUACGGCAACGAUAUGAUCAUGGCGUCCGGGGACAACAUGGGAUUCGAUCCGGCGUUUCGCGGUGGAGAGCGACAGAUCCCCGCUAGGUGGGUCAAUUUCCGCCACGGUGGGCCUAGGUUCCCGUUCAGGCAUGAGGAAGAAAUGGAAUUGGAGAGGCCGCAUCACCACCACCGCCACCACCAUGACCACGACCAAGACCGCCGCGAAGGAUUCGAAGGAAUGGAGAAGCCGUUUAGAGAGCACAAGCAUGAGCAUGAGGGCGGUUUGAU
rnacentral:lncRNA from 1 species